rnacentral:rRNA from 1 species
GAUGAACGCUAGCUACAGGCUUAACACAUGCAAGUCGAGGGGCAGCAUGGUCUUAGCUUGCUAAGGCCGAUGGCGACCGGCGCACGGGUGAGUAACACGUAUCCAACCUGCCGUUUACUCAGGGAUAGCCUUUCGAAAGAAAGAUUAAUACCUGAUAGUAUGGUGAGAUUGCAUGAUAACACCAUUAAAGAUUUAUUGGUAAACGAUGGGGAUGCGUUCCAUUAGGUAGUAGGCGGGGUAACGGCCCACCUAGCCUGCGAUGGAUAGGGGUUCUGAGAGGAAGGUCCCCCACAUUGGAACUGAGACACGGUCCAAACUCCUACGGGAGGCAGCAGUGAGGAAUAUUGGUCAAUGGGCGAGAGCCUGAACCAGCCAAGUAGCGUGAAGGAUGAAGGUCCUACGGAUUGUAAACUUCUUUUAUACGGGAAUAAAGUUUCCUACGUGUAGGAUUUGUAUGUACCGUAUGAAUAAGCAUCGGCUAACUCCGUGCCAGCAGCCG